GGUGGCAGGUUGUAGCCCUGUUUACGGGGCAUUCGCCCCCCCAACCAG
rnacentral:tRNA from 1 species